GGGCUCUUAGCUCAGUUGGUAGAGCAGCGGACUCUUAAUCCGUUGGUCGUAGGUUCGAGUCCUACAGGGCCCACCA
rnacentral:tRNA from 1 species